CUGCUAAGCAAGUAGAGGUUUUUUUUUUUUUUUAUUAGCAAAGCUUUUAUCCUUGACUUAAAAGAAUAGGCAUUUAUUGCCAUUUUGUUUAGACUUUUCAUUUUGGCUUUUAGGUAACUUGACAUGCUGUUGACUCACAAAGGUGGAGGAGGCCCACAAAAGCUAUAUUUUACUGAGUCAUACUAGUCAUCUAAUUGGUGGUUGGUCCAAAAUUGUACAUUUGACAUGAGCAAGGUCUCUUGCUGCACAGCAGAGGGAAAACCAGAAUGAAUACUCCCUGGAAAGCCCAUCUGAGAAAAGGCACCCCAGAAGGGGGCUCAUUCAGGUGUUGCAUUUUCUUCUCUGGAGAUUGUCCACCAAAUACAUCACUUCACUCUGUCAUACAGCAGUAUGUAUAAUACAAUACUAGGAUGACCCAAGAAGAAAUGCUACCUGGAUAGUUUGAUGAUGGUAAAACUUUUACUUUUUGAUAUAUACCCAUAACACUAAACAUGUACUAAUAACUUCAGUAUAAACCCCUCAGCAAUUGG
rnacentral:lncRNA from 1 species